rnacentral:rRNA from 1 species
GGGGGAACUGAAACAUCUAAGUACCCCGAGGAAAAGAAAUCAACCGAGAUUCCCCCAGUAGCGGCGAGCGAACGGGGAGGAGCCCAGAGCCUGAAUCAGUGUGUGUGUUAGUGGAAGCGUCUGGAAAGGCGCGCGAUACAGGGUGACAGCCCCGUACACAAAAAUGCACAUAUUGUGAGCUCGAUGAGUAGGGCGGGACACGUGGUAUCCUGUCUGAAUAUGGGGGGACCAUCCUCCAAGGCUAAAUACUCCUGACUGACCGAUAGUGAACCAGUACCGUGAGGGAAAGGCGAAAAGAACCCCGGCGAGGGGAGUGAAAAAGAACCUGAAACCGUGUACGUACAAGCAGUGGGAGCCUCUUAAUGGGGUGACUGCGUACCUUUUGUAUAAUGGGUCAGCGACUUAUAUUCUGUAGCAAGGUUAACCGAAUAGGGGAGCCGAAGGGAAACCGAGUCUUAACUGGGCGUUAAGUUGCAGGGUAUAGACCCGAAACCCGGUGAUCUAGCCAUGGGCAGGUUGAAGGUUGGGUAACACUAACUGGAGGACCGAACCGACUAAUGUUGAAAAAUUAGCGGAUGACUUGUGGCUGGGGGUGAAAGGCCAAUCAAACCGGGAGAUAGCUGGUUCUCCCCGAAAGCUAUUUAGGUAGCGCCUCGUGAAUUCAUCUCCGGGGGUAGAGCACUGUUUCGGCAAGGGGGUCAUCCCGACUUACCAACCCGAUGCAAACUGCGAAUACCGGAGAAUGUUAUCACGGGAGACACACGGCGGGUGCUAACGUCCGUCGUGAAGAGGGAAACAACCCAGACCGCCAGCUAAGGUCCCAAAGUCAUGGUUAAGUGGGAAACGAUGUGGGAAGGCCCAGACAGCCAGGAUGUUGGCUUAGAAGCAGCCAUCAUUUAAAGAAAGCGUAAUAGCUCACUGGUCGAGUCGGCCUGCGCGGAAGAUGUAACGGGGCUAAACCAUGCACCGAAGCUGCGGCAGCGACGCUUAUGCGUUGUUGGGUAGGGGAGCGUUCUGUAAGCCUGCGAAGGUGUGCUGUGAGGCAUGCUGGAGGUAUCAGAAGUGCGAAUGCUGACAUAAGUAACGAUAAAGCGGGUGAAAAGCCCGCUCGCCGGAAGACCAAGGGUUCCUGUCCAACGUUAAUCGGGGCAGGGUGAGUCGACUCCUAAGGCGAGGCCGAAAGGCGUAGUCGAUGGGAAACAGGUUAAUAUUCCUGUACUUGGUGUUACUGCGAAGGGGGGACGGAGAAGGCUAUGUUGGCCGGGCGACGGUUGUCCCGGUUUAAGCGUGUAGGCUGGU